AAGAUGGCGACCGGCGCACGGGUGAGUAACACGUAUCCAACCUGCCGAUAACUCCGGAAUAGCCUUUCGAAAGAAAGAUUAAUACCGGAUGGCAUACGAAUAUCGCAUGAUAUUUUUUAUUUAAAGAAUUUCGGUUAUCGAUGGGGAUGCGUUCCAUUAGUUUGUUGGCGGGGUAACGGGCCCACCAAGACUACGAUGGAUAGGGGUUCUGAGAGGAAGGUCCCCCACAUUGGAACUGAGGCACGGUCCAAACUCCUACGGGAGGCAGCAUG
rnacentral:rRNA from 1 species